GGCCUGGCCGGGCGGUCUGCCUACCGGUACGUACUGUCUGGCUGGGUCUUACCUCUCGGUGAGCCGGCAUGCCCUUCACUGGGUGUGUCGGGGAACCGAGACUUUUACCUUGAGAAAAUUAGAGUGUUCAAAGCAGGCCUAUGCCCGAAUACAUUAGCAUGGAAUAAUAAAAUAGGACGUGCGGACCUAUUUUGUUGGUUUCUAGGAACCGCCGUA
rnacentral:rRNA from 1 species